rnacentral:lncRNA from 1 species
AAAAUUUUAGGAAAAAAAAAAAUCAUGCCCAGUCACGUGUUCCUUCUGCCAUCCCUGCAGGCCUGUCACCAUCUGCUCCGGGCCAGCUGGAGCGCCCACAGCUGCAGUCCACUCCUGAGUUGCCGGGGACAGAAGCCGCUGGGCCGGCCUGCAGAGACUUGAGAGGGAGACCCCAGCGUCUGAACUGGCACCCGCUGGAGGGGAAGGGCUUGGAGAAACUGUUUGGGGCUCAUCCCCUGGUUCCAGACCGUCCUUUUGGGGACGUUUGGUUCCUGAACAGUUUUGGAGGAUGGAGACCGUGUCACUCUGCAGCAGAGGGAAGGUUUGUCUGCUGUCCGGUAAAAUGACAUGAACGGUUCUUUUGGGGCAGAGGCCACACCUAGUAGGAAACAUCAGGUUCUCUCCAUCCAGGUGUCCUUUCUGGGAACCUUCGGUCUGCGCAGGUGUCCUCUGGCUCCCUCCAGACCCUUCGUGGCCGCUGUUCUUGCUGUUCUCAGCCUUUGUUCUCUGCAGCCAGUUAGAAUUCGAGUCAAUUCCGUGGCCCACCAGGCUGCCCUGCUCCAGUCAAGGCACGUGACUUCCGGCUCCGCGGGGAGCGGCCCGGACGGGGUCCUGCCGAGACCCGCCCGGACCGGGAACCUGGUUUUGCUUCCUCCCCCCGGGCUUUGCCUCCACCUCCACCGCCGGCCUGGAGCGUUUCUGUUUCCAUCUCUCUCCCCGUCCCUGUGGCUCCGCCCUUCCAAGGCCNNNNNNNNNNNNNNNNNN